AACGCACCUUGCGCUCCUUGGUAUUCUGAGGAGCAUGCCUGUUUGAGUGUCAUUAAAUUUUUCAACCUUUACUGCUCUUUAUGUGGGCUUGUAAGGUUUUGGACUGUGGAGUGUGCCGUGAUCUUUGUGAUCUUUGGCUACUCUUGAAUAGAUUAGCAAUCCUUGUAUUGGAAAAAGCUUCAAUUUGGCUUGAUAAGUGUCUGCCAACUUCUUGAUACUUUAUCCUCUCCUGCAUUAGAAUUGCUUCUAAAGUGUCUGUUAAAGACCAUUUUCUCGACCUCAAAUCAGGUAGGACUACCCGCUGAACUUAA
rnacentral:misc_RNA from 1 species